UGCGUAGGCGGAAUAUUAAGUCAGUGGUGAAAUCCUGCGGCUCAACCGUAGAACUGCCAUUGAUACUGAUAUUCUUGAAUGUAGUUGAGGCAGGCGGAAUGUGUAAUGUAGCGGUGAAAUGCUUAGAUAUUACACAGAACACCGAUUGCGAAGACAGCUUACUAAACUAUGAUUGACGCUGAGGCACGAAAGCGUGGGGAGCGAACAGGAUUAGAUACCCUGGUAGUCC
rnacentral:rRNA from 1 species